AGCGAACGCUGGCGGCAGGCUUAACACAUGCAAGUCGAGCGGGCACUUUCGGGUGUCAGCGGCGGACGGGUGAGUAACGCGUGGGAACGUGCCCUCUGGUUCGGAAUAACUCAGGGAAACUUGAGCUAAUACCGGAUACGCCCUUUUGGGGAAAGGCUUGCUGCCGGAGGAUCGGCCCGCGUCUGAUUAGCUAGUUGGUGAGGUAACGGCUCACCAAGGCGACGAUCAGUAGCUGGUCUGAGAGGAUGAUCAGCCACACUGGGACUGAGACACGGCCCAGACUCCUACGGGAGGCAGCAGUGGGGAAUAUUGGACAAGGGGCGCAAGCCUGAUCCAGCCAUGCCGCGUGAGUGAUCAAGGCCUUAGGGUUGUAAAGCUCUUUUAUCCGGGACGAUAAUGACGGUACCGGAGGAAUAAGCCCCGGCUAACUUCGUG
rnacentral:rRNA from 1 species